AACGCGAAGAACCUUACCCAGACUUGACAUCGAUCGUAAGCUCUAGAAAUAGGGCCCUCCCCCACAAGGGGACGUGAAGACACUUGUUGCAUGGCUGUCGUCAGCUCGUGCCGUGAGGUGUACGGUUAAGUCCGCCAACGAGCGCAACCCUCGUUCUGUGUUACCAGCGGGAAAGCCGGGAACUCACAGGAGACCGCCGGUGUAAGCCGGAGGAAGGUGGGGAUGACGUCAAGUCAGCAUGGCAGUUACGUCUGGGGCUUCACACAUGCUACAAUGGGCGCACCAAAGGGCAGCAAUACCGCGAGGUGGAGCAAAUCCCAAAAAUACGCCCCCAGUUCAGAUUGCAGUCUGCAACUCGACUGCAUGAAGGCGGAAUCGCUAGUAAACGCAGGUCAGCUAUACUGCGUUGAAUACGUUCCCGGGCCUUGUACACACCGAGACGAC
rnacentral:rRNA from 1 species